GUAGGGAAUAUUGCGCAAUGGGGGAAACCCUGACGCAGCGACGCCGCGUGAGUGAUGAAGGCCUUCGGGUCGUAAAGCUCUGUUGCAGGGGAAUAAAAAAAUGAAGGUACCCUGUGAGGAAGGAUCGGCUAACUCCGUGCCAGCAGCCGCGGUAAGACGAGGGAUCCUAGCGUUGCUCGGAAUCAUUGGGCGUAAAGAGGGCGUAGGUGGCUUGGUAAGUCAGGUGUGAAAGCCCAGGGCUCAACCCUGGGAGUGCAUUUGAUACUGCUGAGCUUGAGUGUAGGAGAGGUUACCGGAAUACCUGGUGUAGUGGUGAAAUACGUAGAUAUCAGGUGGAACACCGGAGGCGAAGGCGGGUAACUGGACGAACACUGACACUGAGGCCCGAAAGCGUGGGGAUCAAACAGGAUUAGAAACCCUUGUAGUCC
rnacentral:rRNA from 1 species